AGGGGGCCCACCAAGGCGACGAUCAGUAGCCGGCUGAGAGGGUGGACGGCCACAUUGGGACUGAGACACGGCCCAAACUCCUACGGAAGGCAGCAG
rnacentral:rRNA from 1 species